rnacentral:ribozyme from 1 species
UUGAUAACUCUGCCUGUAGCCCCUCCGAAGCUACUGCCGGUCCCAAGCCCGGAUAAAGGAGGAGGGUCGG